AAGGAAUUUUCCCCACUGGGCGCAAGCCUGAGGGAGCAACGCCGCGUGGAGGACGACGGCCUUCGGGUUGUAAACUCCUUUUCGGGGGGAAGAUACAGACGGUACCCCCGGAAUAAGCCCCGGCUAACUCCGUGCCAGCAGCCGCGGUAAUACGGAGGGGGCAAGCGUUGUCCGGACUUACUGGGCGUAAAGGGUGCGUAGGCGGCCUGCUGCGUCGGUGCUGAAAGCGCCCGGCUUAACCGGGCGAGGCGUGCCGAUACGAGCGGGCUGGAGCCUUGGCGAGGGUGGCGGAACUCCUGGUGUAGUGGUGAAAUGCGUAGAGAUCAGGAAGAACACCCGUGGCGCAAGCGGCCACCUGGCCAAGAGCUGACGCUGAGGCACGAGAGCGUGGGGAGCGAAC
rnacentral:rRNA from 1 species